AACGAACGCUGGCGGCAGGCUUAACACAUGCAAGUCGAGCGCCUCGCAAGAGGAGCGGCAGACGGGUGAGUAACGCGUGGGAAUCUACCCAUCCCUACGGAACAACUCCGGGAAACUGGAGCUAAUACCGUAUACGCCCUUCGGGGGAAAGAUUUAUCGGGGAUGGAUGAGCCCGCGUUGGAUUAGCUAGUUGGUGGGGUAAAGGCCUACCAAGGCGACGAUCCAUAGCUGGUCUGAGAGGAUGAUCAGCCACAUUGGGACUGAGACACGGCCCAAACUCCUACGGGAGGCAGCAGUGGGGAAUAUUGGACAAUGGGCGCAAGCCUGAUCCAGCCAUGCCGCGUGAGUGAUGAAGGUCUUAGGAUUGUAAAGCUCUUUCACCGGAGAAGAUAAUGACGGUAUCCGGAGAAGAAGCCCCGGCUAACUUCGUGCCAGCAGCCGCGGUAAUACGAAGGGGGCUAGCGUUGUUCGGAAUUACUGGGCGUAAAGCGCACGUAGGCGGAUAUUUAAGUCAGGGGUGAAAUCCCAGAGCUCAACUCUGGAACUGCCUUUGAUACUGGGUAUCUUGAGUAUGGAAGAGGUAAGUGGAAUUGCGAGUGUAGAGGUGAAAUUCGUAGAUAUUCGCAGGAACACCAGUGGCGAAGGCGGCUUACUGGUCCAUUACUGACGCUGAGGUGCGAAAGCGUGGGGAGCCAACAGGAUUAGAUACCCUGGUAGUCCACGCCGUAAACGAUGAAUGUUAGCCGUCGGCAAGUUUACUUGUCGGUGGCGCACGUAACGCAUUAAACAUUCCGCCUGGGGAGUACGGUCGCAAGAUUA
rnacentral:rRNA from 1 species